rnacentral:lncRNA from 1 species
AAUUAUUCCUUGUUCAUCCAAAAUCUUGUAUAAUAUUUUGUCCCUCUACAUAAUCAAAUUCCUUAAUUUUCACUUGUUCAUUUGGAAGAUCAAUUUUUGCUUUUUUGGUGUUCUUUCAUAGGCUUUAUAAUCCUGCAAACUAUUUACCAUUUUCAAUCCUUAAAAUCAAAUCGGAAGGGGGCAAAUAUUGUUUGAGGAUAGCGAUAUAUUCUUCGAGUUCAAGUCUUCUUUGAUCUAUAUCCGUUCAUUUCUUCUCUUUUUCCUCCAUUGCUGUGAAUUUGAGUGGUAGUGCCUUCCGGGAUUUGAACCCCAGCUAGAACGUCAAUUAGACAUAAGGGAAGCAUCACACGGAUGUAAGAGAAAGCAAAGAGAAAAUAUUUGAAUGGGGAAUAAUUUAUCAAGGUGACAAAUGCAAAAGUCCCUGACACUUCAACCGCGCGCGUGAACAAGGAUGUAAGAUUGACAGCAUAUCAAGAGUUGUGCAUAAAUAAUUAUUCAUAGUCAGCAUUUACAAGUGCCGAUAUCAUUUGAGGGGGAAAUGGUUACAUCACUUGGCACGGAAGCUUCAUAGAUAUCAGGUCAUUUUUAAACAGCCAGGGAUUGUAACAAGGGUCCGUGAUGUGGAGUUAGGCAUUCAGUAUACAUUUUCUGAGUUGAGUCUGUAUUAAUUUGUGACUGUUUCCUAAAACAGACUUACAUUGAAAAACGCACACACUGGGUUUUGCAUAUUGCACUUCAGAAAUAUCACCCAAGUCUUGAGAAAUUUCAAGUAAUUCCCUAAAAAUUCUAAAAGGGGAGUCUCACUGAUUACACCGGAA